AUUUUUAGGCAAACGCUGCAUUUUAAACGUAAUGUAGAGGAAAGUCCAUGCUCGCACCGCUUCUGUGAUGACGGUAGUGUUUGUGUAUAGGGAAUAAAUAACCUAUAGUAGCUUUUUGCUAACGGCGAAAAAAGUCCUAAGGGUAACUACGGGCAAUUUUCAUAAAGUGCCGCAGUGACGAUAUUUCUUGAAAAAGAAGAGUGAAACGUUGGUAAACCCCGCAAGCGAGAAACCCAAAAUAUGGUAGGGGAACCUUCAGAGGAGAACUGAAUCUAAUGAAGGAUGAUUAUUCAUAGAUAAAUGUUUGCCACCUUUAUGGUACAAAACAUGGCUUAUUAAG
rnacentral:RNase_P_RNA from 1 species